GUCGGCUAACAUUCUGAGGACCUGUGUCCGUUCAAGGUCUAUAACUGUUGUGUGCUCUUUUGGACUGACAGUCGCCAGUCGUCCCAUCGGUUCCAUGCUGUCGGCCAAACCUUGCUAGCCGCCCUCAUCCGCCUUGCCGCUAUUUCGUAUGACUUGGUGGUAUCCACCAUGUUUAAGCAUUGGUCAAUACUUGGUGGGUUCUCGUUAAGCCACCCUUUACUUAUAGACAUUUGAGCUGUGAUGAUAAUGUGAUAUAUGAGAUAUAGGUCCACCUUUUGCAAUGUGUGGGGUAAUGCUAGCAAGAGAUAGGUUUCUGGAGUGAACGGUAGAGUGACCUUUGUGGACUCCUUUAUCGUAAUUGAAAUGUGUCCCCAGAAGGACUUGAUCUUCGGACAGGUCCACCAGAUGUGGAGCAUUGUACCGGGCUCUUUCAAGCAUCUCCAGCAGGAGUUUGAUUUCCGUCCGUCAAAUUUGUGUAGCCUAGUGGGCACCAUAUACCAACGGUAUAACACCUUUCUGCUAGUCUCAAUGUGUGUCGUGUUCAGUGUUAGGUGUUUAUGGGCAGCCAAUACUUUGGACCAAAUUUCAUUGGGUAUGUCUAGGUCUAGCUCUUUCUCCCAGGCUUUUAUGAAUUUUAAAGCCUUUGGAGGG